rnacentral:rRNA from 1 species
UACCAGCACCCCGAGUGGUCGGGACGAUUAUUGGGCCUAAAGCAUCCGUAGCCGGUUUUACAAGUCCCCCGUUAAAUCCAACUGCUUAACAGAUGGGCCGCGGAGGAUACUAUAAGACUAGGAGGCAGGAGAGGCAAGCGGUACUCAGUGGGUAGGGGUAAAAUCCGUUGAUCCAUUGAAGACCACCAGUGGCGAAGGCGGCUUGCCAGAAUGCGCUCGACGGUGAGGGAUGAAAGCUGGGGGAGGUGCAAACCGGGAUUAAGCAUACCC